GGUGGGUGAGGUCAGAUCGUGUCGCCAAAAAAAAACAGUGGGUGUUCGUAUGCUUGCUGACUAACACGGGCAAACUGGAAGAGCUUACCGAUUAACGUAAACAUCGGUUUUUGUGGUUUUGAUAUGUUUAAGAGUCAACGAUACAGUCAGUGCGACUUGUUCAGCUUCAAGUCGCGCCAACAAACUCAAGUUGAACGUUAGGGACAUGUUUUUACCAUCUGGUACAAGAUUCGUACAGCUUCGUUUCAAUCUUGACAGUGUUUAUAAUUUCGAGAAAUAAUUAUAUAUGAGGAUGGAUCGGUUGAACUGAUCAACGGAUUAUACUUCUGUCUGCAUUUAUCUCACGAGAUCGUCCAUCAAAAUACAAUGCUUGUGGUAACUGUAGCAGUGUUUUUAAUACAGACACUACUUAUCAAAGCACAGAUACCAGCAGUGAAUGUUACACCUGGUGAAUACUCGUUAGACCUCACCUGGACAGAGAGUGACGGGGAUGUCAAUUUUACAGUCGGCUAUGGACUGGCUGGAAACAUCUCCUAUAAGGAUGUUGACCGGACACUGGGGUCAGAGGUUGUCAUGAAAACCAUCACUGACCUUCAACCUGGGGUCACAUACCAGGUCAACAUACUGCGUAGUGGAACAUCCAUCUACAGUGCUAAUCAAACAACAAAGCCUCUGCCUCCCACAAGUAUAAAUGUAGAUGAGGCGGGUACUGAAAACCUAUACAUCUCCUGGACCCCUGACCCUGACAGUGUCCAGGACUCCUACCGUGUCUUUCUGACAGGAAUCACCAAUUUCUCUGAAGUGUACGAGUCAGAACUGCUCACAGAGCUGUUUCAUAACAUCACAGGCGUGUACCCGGGUCACGUCUACACGAUCACCGUCGUCUCCUCCAGUCAGGGCGUAUCCAGCAACUUCUCCACUCUCAUUGAAGAUAACACAGUGCCGCUGUCCCCUAUCAUACAAAGUGUUGUAGCGCUGGACAACAGUAGUGUAAUGAUGUCCUGGGUUACUGAGAUCCACAGCACACAGGAUCAUGAGAUGUUCACAGCCACCUACAAUACGUCCUUUGGUCAGUCAGAAGAGGUCAACUUGACUUGUAAGGUCAAGUUGUGGUCCAGCUGUGUUGCCAGUGUUCCUGGUAUCCCCGGCCAGAUGUUGCUGCUGGAAGUCUUCUCUGUCAAGGGAGUAAGGAGGAGCGAGCCAGACUCUGCCUACCACAGCACAAAGCCUGACCCCUUGAUGGACAUUGUAGAGCUGGGCAGCUCAUCGACUGAUCUGUACCUACAACUGGUACCCCCCACCGUAUCCAGUUACCAACUCUUCCUCUUCAAAGUCAUCAUCGAUGGUCUCUCAUUCUACAACUUUACAGUCCCUCCAACAGAGACCAACGUCACUCUCAAUAACCUCACUGGAGGCACAGCGUACAAUAUCUCAGCCACCGUGGCAUCCCAGUGGGAGGAGAGUACCUCUUUCUCCGAUAUAUUCUAUACAGAUCCCUACCCAUCUGGACCCAUAAAGAUCACAGAUGCAGGGAUCACUCAAAACUCCAUCAAGGUUUUGUGGGAGGCGGUUAGUAGUGGUAGUGUUAGUUACUACGAGGUCAGGAUUUCCCCCAAGGAGCCUCAGACGAUCUCCCCAGUGAUGGACUAUACUGUGGAUCAGCGCACUGCCCUAUUCGAGAAGCUGGUGGCAGGAAAGAUGUAUGUGGUUACAGUCGUGUCAGGGGCUGGACAGAAAAGGAGUAACCCUACAGAAAGAGUUGUGUGGACACGACCAUACCCUCCUGUCAAUGUAACGGCGGUCGUUAGGAGUGGUCGUGUCAUCGAUGUCACCUGGCAACGGCCUGUGGAUGGAAUGGUGGAGAACUAUUUUGUCACAGCCAAGUCCACACUUUCGGAUAGUGUGUCUCCUGUAUCAGUCACUGUGUCUACGCCAGGGCACAGCUUUACCAAACUACACCCAGGCGAGACCUACGACAUCACUGUAACCUCUCUCAGUGGCAAUGUGUCAAGUUCAGAGGUCAAAGUUCAGGCCACCACAAAUCCAACUUCUGUUGCGGAGCUGUACAUAGACUUUGUGGGUAGCUCUACUGUCAACGUUUCAUGGCCCCGCCCAGAUGGGACAGUGAUUGAUAUGUAUGAGCUCAAUAUCUCGCCAGCAGACACCACAUCACCCAUCACCUUAUUCGAGGUCCAGGGCCAACUCCACCACAGCUUUGAAGGUCUGAAUCCUGGCACGCUGUACAACAUCUCUAUACAGACCUUUGUUAACAGCAGUGGUAGUGACGAGGCUGAGGUGGCAGUAAUAACAAAACCUUUACCAGUGAAAUCUCUCAAUGUGUCUUCCCAUGCGUCGAGUAGUCUGUACGCCCAGUGGCAGGUCCCUAACACACAUCAACAGUCCUUCUUCGAGGUAGUAUACCAGACAAUUUAUCAGAUGGAGAAUGCCUCCCUGCCACUAAUACCCGAUGUUGAGGGACAGUUAGACUACAGUGAAACACUGUACAACUUGUCUGCAGGAUACAUGUACCAAGUCUCUAUACGGACCAUUAAAACCAUCGGCAACCUAUCGGCCUAUAGUACCUGGGAGUCUGCAUCUAAAACAACAAAGCCGAAGCCUGUCCUGACUCUCAUGGCUGUCCUGAUUGGUCGAGAUGUAAAACUCCUGUGGACACCGGAUCCAGAGAGCACUCAGGAUCACUACUAUGUUUUGUACAGGGGCACAAUCACAGGGGCCAACCCAAGUUGGGACCAGACACUGUCCAAUAACACAGAACUCCAGGUGACAGGGCUGUUCCCCGGGGAACGCUAUGACAUGUUAGUUAUCGCUGGCAGCUAUGGAGAAAUGAGUCCUCAUAGAAAUGUUUCUGUUCAGAUUCCUCCUCUUGCACCCACUGAUCUCCUAAUCAACACGUCCUUGACAACAGAGAGUACCCUGUCACUGUCAUGGUCGUAUAACAGAAGUGCCACAUUCAUUGAGGAGUACAAACUUGACUACCAGAGCUACCGGUCCAGUUUUGUUCAAACAAUGACCAUCCCUCAUCCCAAUGACACAGUAGAAGACCUUAACCUUGUCCUUGGAAAUUUGACCUCUGGCGAAACUUACAAGAUCACAUUGAAAAGUAGUACCAAUGAUGCCUACUCAGAAGAAAUUCUCAGAAAUGCUACUGUCCAACCUGAAUGCCUGACCAUACUGUCAGAAGAAGCAAAUGCUACCGACACUAUUUCUGUCCAGUACACAGAUACAUCCAAUUAUUUUGACCAUUACCUGUUCUACUUGACCAAUGAAAGUGGGCAGUCAGCAAUACAGAAAGACAGGGUGGAUACGGACAGGAAAGUGGCGUUUACUAGUCUGUCAGGGGGGACAGUGUAUAGUGUGAAGGUGGUCAGUGUGGCCGAAGAUCAGAUCAGUGACCCACAAUACAUCUAUUUACAGACAGUGCCAAAUCAGCCCCAUGUAACCCAGACCGCCACAUCGUCAGAAAUAACACUUACCAUCCACAAGCCUGAGGGUCACGUGGACAGUUUCAUGGUGGUGUGUUUCCGUGACAAAGAUCCCUGCGGAAUUCACAGUCUGGCAGUGACAAGAGAUAGCCAUUCAGUCACAUUUGAUAAUUUGUUGCCCUUCACGAUGUAUAACUUUCAAGUGGUAGCCAUCGCAGGAAUCAAGCAGAAUUCUGUGUUCCCUAGGAUCACUACCAAUCAGGCUGCUCCCUCUUAUGUCCGAGACUUGAAAGCAGUGGAGUCGUCCCCCCUGACGGUCAAUCUGACAUGGCGACCACCCUUGGUACCUAAUGGUAUUAUAACAGCCUAUUUGGUUGCCUACACCAACCAGCAGGAUGGGAUUGGUGGCAGCCGAAACCUGACCCUGGCAGGUAGUCUACAGUACCAGAGUGUUUACUACAUGAAUUUCACUGACCUCCUCGCUGGUCACACCUACUCCUUCAUGGUUUAUGCUAAGACCGUGACUUUAGGAACCCCUGCUGUGUACAACAUCACACUAAGGACGUAUCCUCCUCCAAUCAUAGAUGCUGCCACCUCUACACCCAAAGGUGUUACUGACAAAGGUAUCGCCACGGUUACACCAACAACAGUUAUUGUUCAUUUCACAAAUCCAUUCUCUUCAAAAUAUGGGGACAUCAUCAACUACACAGUGAUUGUUGCCACGGAUACCACGGAGCAAUACACCAAUGCUCAUGCCACACUCCCAGAUUGGAAGGCUGCUCAAGUUGACCCUAGUAUAAAGGCAUACCAGGCCAUUGCUAAUUGUUCCACCUUCUUUGAGGAGAGUUCCACAUGUAAUGGAGUGUUCCGCUUGCACAAGAGGAGCGUCACACUGGAUUAUAAAGUGUUUGAAAUUGGUACUGAGUCAAAUUGUUACUCAAAGUCCUAUUGUAAUGGGCCACUGCAACAACAGACUAAGUAUUACGUCAAGCUAAGAGGAUACACGGAGGGAGGGUAUACAGACACAAACUACUCCAAACCAUUCUUAACCAGUAUGGUGGUGGAGGAGGAUAACAUAGGAGGGAUCAUUGGAGGGGUGGUGGCUGCGAUACUUGUGAUCAUCAUCUUUAUCGUCGUCUUCAUUGUCUUCCGACGUAUGCGGGAUCGUCGUAGUAACAUGUACAAGGAGCGUCACUCGCAAAGGCUCAGCAUGACUCCACGGUCAUCUCUUCGCAAAAACAGAAAGAGUCACCCUGUCAGCAUGGCUAAUUUCAGUGAUCACAUCAUAUCCAUGUCAGCAGACUCCGAUUUUAAGUAUGCAGAACAGUUUGAGGACUUGAAAGAGAUCGGCCGUGACCAGCCAUGCACAGCAGCAGAACUACCAGAAAACAGGGGAAAGAACCGAUUUACAAACAUCUUGCCAUACGACCACUCACGGGUGAAGCUUCUACCCACAGAUGAUGAGGAAGGCUCAGAUUACAUCAACGCCAAUUACAUGCCGGGCUUCAACUCCCGUCGUGAAUAUAUUGUGACUCAGGGGGCACUACCAUCUACUCGGGACGACUUUUGGAGGAUGAUUUGGGAACAGAACUCACGUAAUAUUGUUAUGCUGACUAAGUGUGUGGAGAAAGGCAGGGAAAAGUGUGACCACUACUGGCCACACGGCACUGACGCCAUGUUUUACGGGGACCUCCAGGUGGCUGCGCUAAAUGAGACAAAAUUUCCGUCAUGGACCAUCACAGAAUUUCGGCUCUCACUGGGAGAUGUUUCCCGACAGAUUCGGCAUUUCCAUUUUCUAGCUUGGCCUGACUUUGGUGUCCCAGACAAACCUCAGACAUUGAUUCGGUUUGUGAAGACAGUGAGAGAAAAGUUGAACAGGGAAUGUGGUCCUAUUGUAGUCCAUUGUAGUGCUGGUGUUGGGAGAUCUGGGACUUACAUAGCAUUGGACAGAAUGCUACAAAAUAUUGGCGAACAUGGUGAGGUGGAUAUCUUCCAAACAGUAGCGGAAAUGAGGCGAGAACGUGUUUGGAUGGUUCAGACAGAGCAACAGUACAUCUGUAUUCACCAGUGUGUACUGUGUGUCGUAGAGGGGCGGGAGGAUGAACACCACGUCUACGAAAACGCAGCAUUCUCAAACGCAGGUUAUGAAGCUCAUGACAAAGAUGAUGAAGGCAUCAAUGUGGAAGUGCCAUGAAUCGGGAAUCUACACUCAAGCAAUGCUGAUUUUAGAGUUAAUUAUGAGGACAAGAAAAGGAAUGAUAGAGGGUGGAUCCCCUAAUACCCACACAAUGUGGAACUGGAGAAGGAAAACCUACAGCAAGAAAUGUAGAACCAAACUGACCACACAGUGCCUUUAUAGGAAAGAUUGUAAUUAUGUGUCUUUCAAGGCAUUACAUUUGUCUUAAUGCCAAAUAUUUUAGUCCAUUGGAAUUUAGUCAGUACAGGGAUUGUGCAAAGUUCUCAACUAGUGAGAGUUGAUUUAGGGGUAUGUAGAUUACACUGCUAUUAACUGGGCAUUAACUGUCAAAGUGUUCUCGUCUCAUUUCACAAUCUAGUGACCUCUUUAUUGACCAUCUAUACAUACAUGUCUUUCAUCCCACCUGUGAAAAUUAAAGGGAGGUAAUUCCCGUACUAGUGCCUAAUAUUUAUAUGCAUUGUGCCUUGUUUACCAGGUGAUUGUGACCAUGCAGUGGCAGACAUUUCAAUACUUAUCAUUUCUGUUUUACUUUAAAUCAGAGAAUGCUGAUUAAGAAUCCUGAAGUUUCCCUAACGAUACUUACCUGGAGACAAAACACACUUACCUACCUAGAGACAUACAUACUUUUCUACCUGGAAACAAUAUCUCAUGAAAAAGCAAUCAUUUAUUUAGUGCAUACAUUAACAAAGUGUCAAAUCAUGAAUGGACAAUUUCAAAACCUCCAACACAUCACAAGAAACCAUCUUCCAAAAUAUAGUGUUCGAGUCACGGCACAGCACUGUGUUGUAUCUUUGAGCAAGAUACUUUACUCCGCUUAUUCCAGUCUACUCAGGUGUAAAUCAUGAGUAAGCGGUUGGGCAGUACUAGAAUUGUAGAAUGCUAGCUGUGAGUGGUGAAAUGGCAGCACUGGCUUGUUUCUAUCAGAGGAAGGUACAGCUGACGUAGUCACAUUGUGUGGUAGGGCUUGUUUCUAUCAGAGGAAGGUACAGCUGACACUGUGUUACAUUGUGUGGUGGGGCUUGUUUCUAUCAGAGGAAGGUACAGCUGACGUAGGCACAUUGUGUGGUAGGGCUUGUUUCUAUCAGAGGGAGGGACAGCUGACAUUGUCACAUUGUGUGGUAGGGCUUGUUGCUAUCAGAGGAAGGUACAGCUGGCACUGUCACAUUGCGUGGUAGGGCUUGUUUCUAUCAGAGGAAGGUACAGCUGACGUAGUCCCAUUGUGUGGUAGGGCUUGUUUCUAUCAGAGGGAGGUACAGCUGACACUGUGUCACAUUGUGCGGUAGGGCUUGCUUCUAUCAAAGAAAGGUACAGCUGACACUGUGUCAUAUUGUAUGGUAGGGUUUUGUCUCUCUGUUGUAUGUGGUGCUAGCAUUGAUUAUAAAGCUUAAUAUACCUUGUUGAAUGACCAUCAUAAUGUCAUCUUUUAAAAGAGAAUUUCUUUUAAACAAUGAUAGAUUUGUUAUAUUAUACAUUCCAAAAUCAUUUUUUCUCUUGCACAAAGGACUUGUAUUAUUUAAUGCUACAAACAUAUUAAACAUUUUAUAGAUCAGGUUUUUUUGUGAGUACAUUAUUAGUCCACGUUCUAGGAACAUGAUCUGCCGGAGACUUUGGUCAGUGUGGGUAUUGACUUAGUAUAUUGAUUGUACUUGACGUGUUGUUGAGUUCAGAGUAUGUUAAAUACACUCUAGUACUGCCAGACAAUUUAAUCGCCCAUUAAUUUUAACCACCUGUCAGAUUUGUUAUAUGUAUAUAUAUUGUACCACAUAAAACUAAAUGAGAGAGAUUAAGUGUUUAUUUUUAAUGUUUAAUGUUUAAAGUAAUUUUUUUUUUUUCAUGCUUGCAGUUCAUAGAUAUAAUUUUCUCCCACACCUGACAGAUUUAUCUCCCGUUUUGCCGGUGCUAGAUUUAUCUGUCUCCGCCCUAGGGUUGA
rnacentral:misc_RNA from 1 species